GUUGAAAUAUCUCAGUGGGAGAGCGUUAGACUGAAGAUCUUGAGGUUCUGAGUUCAAAUCUCAGUUUCAACA
rnacentral:tRNA from 1 species